rnacentral:rRNA from 1 species
GAACCUGCGGAGGGAUCAUUACCGAGUUUACAACUCCCAAACCCAAUGUGAACCAUACCAAACUGUUGCCUCGGCGGGGUCACGCCCCGGGUGCGUCGCAGCCCCGGAACCAGGCGCCCGCCGGAGGGACCAACCAAACUCUUUCUGUAGUCCCCUCGCGGACGUUAUUUCUUACAGCUCUGAGCAAAAAUUCAAAAUGAAUCAAAACUUUCAACAACGGAUCUCUUGGUUCUGGCAUCGAUGAAGAACGCAGCGAAAUGCGAUAAGUAAUGUGAAUUGCAGAAUUCAGUGAAUCAUCGAAUCUUUGAACGCACAUUGCGCCCGCCAGUAUUCUGGCGGGCAUGCCUGUCCGAGCGUCAUUUCAACCCUCGAACCCCUCCGGGGGGUCGGCGUUGGGGAUCGGGAACCCCUAAGACGGGAUCCCGGCCCCGAAAUACAGUGGCGGUCUCGCCGCAGCCUCUCCUGCGCAGUAGUUUGCACAACUCGCACCGGGAGCGCGGCGCGUCCACGUCCGUAAAACACCCAACUUCUGAAAUGUUGACCUCGGAUCAGGUAGGAAUACCCGCUGAACUUAAGCAUAUCAAU